rnacentral:rRNA from 1 species
UACGUAGGGUGCAAGCGUUAAUCGGAAUUACUGGGCGUAAAGCGCGCGUAGGCGGCUUUGUAAGUUAGAGGUGAAAGCCCGGAGCUCAACUCCGGAACUGCCUUUAAGACUGCAUCGCUAGAAUUGUGGAGAGGUAAGUGGAAUUCCGAGUGUAGAGGUGAAAUUCGUAGAUAUUCGGAAGAACACCAGUGGCGAAGGCGACUUACUGGACACAUAUUGACGCUGAGGCGCGAAAGCGUGGGGAGCAAACAGG